GUCUCUGUGGCGCAGUCGGUUAGCGUGUUUGGCUGUUAAUCGGAAAGUUGGUGGUUCGGGACCACCCAGGGACG
rnacentral:tRNA from 1 species